rnacentral:rRNA from 1 species
UACGAAGGGAGCGAGCGUUGUUCGGAAUCACUGGGCUUAAAGCGUGCGUAGGCGGAGAUGCAAGUCAGGAGUGAAAUCCCGGGGCUUAACCCCGGAACUGCUUUUGAAACUGCAUCCCUAGAAUUCGGUAGAGGUUAAUGGAAUAUCCAGUGUAGAGGUGAAAUUCGCAGAUAUUGGAUAGAACACCAGUGGCGAAGGCGAUUAACUGGGCCGAUAUUGACGCUGAGGCACGAAAGCGUGGGGAGCAAACAGG